UGUAGCCCGCCACAAGUUUUACUUCUCUCACCGUGUCUCUCACACUCUCUCUCUCUCUCUCUAGCUUCCAUGCUCAAUUUUCAACAUGAAUUCACAGCCUACUCAGAGUCCUCAAUCCAUGGCCACCUCGUCAACACCCACUGAUAGCUCAGGGAAGAAGGUGAGGAAGCCCUAUACUAUUACCAAGUCCAGAGAAAGCUGGACUGACGAAGAGCACGACAAGUUCCUUGAAGCACUUCAACUGUUUGAUCGUGACUGGAAAAAAAUUGAAGACUUUGUGGGUUCAAAGACAGUGAUUCAGAUUCGAAGUCAUGCCCAAAAAUACUUCUUGAAAGUUCAAAAGAAUGGUACAGUAGCACAUGUACCUCCUCCUCGCCCGAAGCGAAAGGCUUCUCAUCCUUAUCCACAAAAGGCAUCCAAAAAUGUUUUGAUGCCACUACAAGGAUCAUUGGCUUAUCCUUCUUCGAUAAAUAAUCUUUCAUCAGGAUAUUCUCCGUGGGAUGAAACUUCCAUGAUGAUAAAUGCUUCAUCAAGCCAAAUGGUGCCAUCACAAGAUGAUUUUACUAGUCUUCACGGAAUCGAAGCUGAUAUUGCAUCGAAGGGGGUAGCACGGAUUAGUAACAGUAUAGCAAAGCAAGGGAAACAAGCUCCAGUCCUCCAUGGUUUGCCAGACUUUUCUGAAGUGUAUGGCUUCAUUGGGAGCGUUUUUGAUCCAGAGAUUGACGGCCAUGUGCAGAAGCUCAAGGAAAUGGAUCCCAUAAAUUUUGAAACUGUUUUGUUGUUGAUGAGAAACCUCACUGUUAAAUUGUCUAGCCCUGAUUUUGAGCCAAUUGUAAAUAAAUAUUUUUUUGUUACUCUUUUGUGACACUUAUCUCAGAUAUCUUUUAUUUUCUAGUAAUGCUGAUAUUCUCCAGCCUCAAUUCAGUUUAUCUUCCAAAUUGUGUGCUUUAACUGCUUUUGAUAUUUUGCUUAUCUUCAGCAAAAAAGAGUUCACAUUGUUACUCUGCCCUGUUGGCCUGUAGUAAUACUUUUGGUUCAUGGAAGGAUUCUACGUAAUCAUAAUACAGAUUUGCAAACUCUAUGUAAUGAUAUGUGGUAGUGGAAUCCAGUGUUAUAAUUAUAUAUUUUUCUGAAUCUCAAAGUUUGCAUCAUUCUUUUAUUUUUAUAACUUUUACAAACAAAUGGAACACAUUACCUAAAUGAUGGAAAAUUUUAUAAAUGACGGAAAUUAUUUGAACCAUUUGGCUAUUAGGUGAUAGGGUUUGCGCAUAUGGGUUGUUCAUAUGUAUUUUUCCGGAACUGCCCUCAUUAUUGAGAGAAAUGUAAAAGAAGUGUAGAAAUAGAGAACAAUUAGAACUAUUUAAUAUCAGAAGUUCUAAAAUAUGUGAAUGACUGCAUCAGAAAUUUUAAAAAAAAUUCCCAUUGGACUUGCUUCUAUUAUCUGCAUGAUAUGAUUGCAGAAAUAAACCCCAAAGAUUUCCUCUUAAGAUAAAAACCUGACCAGGUGGACCUCUCAAUCAUCCAACACAUUUUUUGGAAGGAGAAAAGCACUUGAAAAUCUUCCUUGGUCAGGUUCUGACCACUGAUCUGCAAGUGUAUAAUACAUAAACUGCUUGAAGAAUUAUACUCUAGAUUAUUCAAAAAUAGAAAAUAAAAUUCAACAGUCAACUGAACUCAGCAUAGGUCAAAUAUGGAAUAUAGCACCUAUUGAAGAACAAUUAAGACAAAUUUAAUUGGAUCGUUUCUUUGAGAAAGGAAAUCAGGAGAUUGUGAUUUGCCAUUAGAAUACUCUGGGGAUAUCACAUGAUUUUACUGAAACCCAAUAUAUUUGAUAGGAAAUCUGACCUCUUUAGAAAUUGUCCACAGUCUAACAAGAAUUGCAUUUAGAAGCAACCACUACUGGAUCAAGCCCCCUUUCAAUCUCAAUGCGUUCUCCUUUAAUAUAUUGAAUGUUGUAAUAGUCUGUCUUAGUUUAUUUAAGACUUUUUUUUGUGCUGCAGAAGAAUCAAUCUUGGAUGGUUAUUUGAAUCUCAGCAAAACAGAUUUUUAUCCAGUUGCUCUUCCUUAUAUACCUGAACAAUAAUGGAAUUCUUGAACAAUUGUUCAGUAACCUUGACCAGUUGAUUUAUUGGUGGUUCAGAGGAACAUCCUGUCGUCAUAUGAUGUUAAUUCCAAAACAGUAGGGUUAGCUGCUGGAUUUGUUGCCAAGAAGCUGAUCAGUGAUCUAUCCUGUUGAACUGAACUGGGUGCUAUUUAGAUGGGAUUUUCUUGUUUUCUUAGCUGGCAUCAUCAAAUGCAAGUGCGUAAUAGUGGUUAUUGCAGCAACAUGCUUUGAAUCUGCAAGUUCAAGAAUCUAACUAUUUAGCUCUAGAGAGAGAGUGUUAAGUCAUGCUGAAUGAAGAGAAGUUUCAACUAAUCUUCAAGGUCCACAAAGAUCCUAAUGCCCAGUGGCCUUGAUGGGAAAUAUAAUUAUUCUUGCUAUUCCAUUUGUUUGGCCUUCUACCAAACCAGUCUAUAUAUCUUGCAACCUUGUAAGAUCUUUUUUAUGGUAGUUUAAUAUUCUAUGUAGGGAAAUCUUUCUCAUGUGUAAGUUUGUCUCUAGAGCAGUGCAACUAUAAGAAAUUAAAUAUAUUGAUUUUAUUUUUCA